GGGUAUCACUCAGUGGUAGAGUGCAUGCUUAGAAUGCACGAGGUCCUGGGUUCAUUCCCCGGUACUUCCA
rnacentral:tRNA from 1 species